rnacentral:RNase_P_RNA from 1 species
UCUGGGUAAACGCUGCAUAAAAAUUUAUGUAGAGGAAAGUCCAUGCUUGCACUAUCUGUGAUGAUAGUAGUGUUUGUGCUUAGGGAAAAAAUAACCUAAGGAAGUCUUAUGACUUACGGCUUUGAUUUCAUCCUAAAGUUUAUACCAUGGAUAAAUCAGUGUAAAAGUGCCACAGUGACGAAUCCUUAUAGAAAUAUAGGGAGUGAAACGAGGUAAACCCCACAAGUAAGAAACUCAAAUUAUGGUAGAGGAACUAUUCUUUGAAGAAUUAAGAAUUUAAGGAAUGGAUAGGGAAACCUAUAGAUAAAUGUUUACCGCCUAUUAAGGUACAGAACAUGGCUUAUAA